CUAAUGCACUAAUGUAAGUUGCUAUGGAUAAUAGCGUCUGCUAAAUUACAAAAA
rfam:Salmo salar isolate Sally breed double haploid chromosome ssa04, whole genome shotgun sequence.